CCUACGGGAGGCAGCAGUGGGGAAUAUUGCGCAAUGGGCGAAAGCCUGACGCAGCGACGCCGCGUGAGGGAUGAAGGUCUUCGGAUCGUAAACCUCUGUCAGCAGGGAAGAACGGUCACUGUGCUAAUCAGCAGUGAAUUGACGGUACCUGCAAAGGAAGCACCGGCUAACUCCGUGCCAGCAGCCGCGGUAAUACGGAGGGUGCGAGCGUUAAUCGGAAUUACUGGGCGUAAAGCGCUCGUAGGCGGUAUGUCAAGUCACGGGUGAAAUCCCCGGGCUCAACGUGGGAACUGACUUUGAAACUGGCAAACUGGAGUGUAGUAGAGGAUAGUGGAAUUCCAGGUGUAGGAGUGAAAUGCGUAGAGAUCUGGAGGAACAUCAGUGGCGAAGGCGACUAUCUGGCACAUAACUGACGCUGAGGAGCGAAAGCGUGGGUAGCAAACAGGAUUAGAUACCCCUGUAGUC
rnacentral:rRNA from 1 species